UAGCUUAGUUCGGCAGAGCGACGGACUCUUAAUCCGUAGGCCAAGGGUUCAAAUCCCU
rnacentral:tRNA from 1 species